CCGACCUUAGAUACUUCUGAUGGAGAUGUCUGUCAUUUUGAUAGCUUAAAUCUACAUAUAUUGAGAGCGAUUGAUUUGGAUUUUGGUAAAACUACGUUGCCCAAACAAAUCAUGACCAUUGCCAACCUUAGACACUUCAGAUGGAGAUCUCUGUCAUCAUGCAAUCUCUCUAUAAUCUAUAAACCCUGGAUGUGAGUACAGUGAUUGAUAACAAAAUUGGCAGUC
rnacentral:lncRNA from 1 species